CAAAGCCUUGAGUUGGCCUCUAGACCCUUCAGGAAGAGAGUGAUCCACAAAUAGACUUAGGGCUCACUGCAAGCUCUCUUGGAUCUGGAAUAAGGAAAAGCACAGGCGGCCUGCCAGACCUGUCCAGGCAUUUUCCCCUGCCCUGAUCCACGUAUCUUGAAGUCACCUGACUUUCUCUCACAAAAGGUUGGGCCUUCCAGCUCAAAGCCCUUUGUUCCUGAGCCUCUUUUUCCAGGAAGCUGGUCUUGAGAAAAACACCUGCUUUAGGGACAGGAGCUACUCACCGUAAAAGUCACUUGGAGGCCUGACUGCAUGGGGUGCAGCGUCCUUGUGAAGAGUCCUCAGAUGGCUCUAGAGCUGGCAGUGCUGCUUUUCAGUAUUCAGCUCUGACAACUUCCCAACCCCCUCACAUCUACCACGGCCCCCACAGAGAAGAGAAAAGAAAAAAGCCCACAGACGCCCAGCCGAGGAUUCCUCUGGGCGAGGGGAGGCAUCAGAACAUGCUGAGAGCCAGAAGAUGUCCCAGAUUGGCAAGAGAGAAAUGGAAAUGACUUCAGUUUGGCCCCUGGCCCGAUGGGAGUUGCUGCCCAGAGGUAGUGCCCCUGAGCGCUGCGCUGCACUGGGGGAAGCCACACAGAGCUGGGUAGAGAAACCCUCUGGGCAGUGCCAGUAGCAGCUCCCACGGGUUCCCUGGAUGGAGAGACUGAAGGCAAAGGAAACAGUAAAGUCUGGAGGGACAAGGGAGAUGUUUUGUAAUAUUUACAUUUUUUUUUCUGAUUUUAUGAAUUCUGUACACUUCAAAUAAUAUAAAAUGCCAGUUCUAACACUGGAGUUUCUGUAUUCCCCCAAAUAAAAAUGACAUUAUUAGA